CAGUGGUGCCCAGUGACAGGACAGGGGGCAGCAGGCACAAACUGGAGCCCAGGAGGUUCCACUUGAACAUCAAGGCAAAACUUCUCUGCCGUGAUGGUGCUGGAACCCUGGAGCAGGCUGCCCAGAGAGGCUGUGGAGCCUCCUUCUCUGGAGAGAUUCCAACCCCCACCCAGGCCAUUAUGAUCCUGGGCAAGCUGCUGUGGAUGCCCCUGCUUGAGCAGGGGGAUAGACUGGAUGAGCUCCAGGAGGUCUCUUCCAGCCCCUUCCCUGGGAUUGUGUCGCUCCCUAGUCAGGCAGAGCACAGUGUCAGUGUCACACUGAAACCCAUGGGGGCUGGAAGCAGGGGGGAGCUGAGCCUGCCUGGUGUGACAUGCCUGCUUCGUGGCAGGUGAGCCUACUGAUGAAUCAUGUUCCACGGUGCUGUUUUCUUCACUGCAGGAGUGGUCAGGGCUUGGCACAGGCUGCCCAGGGAGCUGGUGGAGUCCCCAUCCCUGCAGCCACAGCACUUGGGGGUGUAAUGGUCUUAAGUUGGACUUGGUGAUCUUAGAAGUCGUUUGCAACUUUAAUUACUGUGAUUGUCUGGCCAGAGCUGCAUCAAACAGGGGACCAAUUUCAGCUGUGCAUUCCUCAUCAGUGUGAGUGACUGAAAUAAUGAGCUCCCUGCAUCCAGAAGAUAACUCUCCUGCUGCGCAAAUCAUCCUCUAUUUCCAGGUAAUUUCUGGCUUUGCCAGAGAUGAGGUGGAGUCGAUUUGAGGCUUCAGGAUGGCCUGAGCAAGCAGGUGUUCUGCUCUUCAGAAGCCCACCUGGGGACUUCAUUAAUUCCCUGCCAGGUUUUCACUGAUUUCCUUUGCUGUUAAGCAGGAGUUUGUUGCCUUCCCAGCAUCACCAAGCAGGCAGGAGGUCAGCAGGCCAGGGAGGGUGGUUGGCUGAGGUGGUAAAGCUCAUUACAAUAUAGAUCCUGUGCUAGAGCCUUCAGUUUUCUGCCCUGAAGUUUCUUCCAUGGGAUGUGAACAGUACAGUGACAGAAAGAUCUCAUCCCUGGCAUCUCCAGGGAAGAGUUUAGGGUGUAUUUGAGAACCUAAGAGUAACCCACACAUGUCCCAGUGUCCUGCAUCCCCUCUUCUGGCUCUGGAAUCAUGGAAUCAAACAGGUUGGAAGAGACCUCCAAGCUCAUCCAGUCCAACCUAGCACCCAGCCCUAUCCAAUCAGUUAGAUCAUGGCACUAAGUGCCUCAUCCAGGCUUUAACCAGCCUGGAACUAGCACAAAAUACUCACUCCAGGGCCAGUGUUUUGUGUUUGCAGAGGAGAGGACAGCACUGAACUCAGGAUGCCUUUGAGCACCUCAUUGUACCUUGCCCCUCAGCAUCACCAGUGGCCUGGCCUGGGUCUGGUGCUUUGGAGCAUCAAGCAGAACAGCUGAAGUAGGUGGGAGAGUGGAACAGGAGUGAGGAGGAUUUGGUUGGUGCCUUUCUAAGCAGCUGCUUUGCAGUUGUGGUGCUGAGGGCUGUGCUUUAGUGGUGACCACUCACUGCUGGCUUAACAGUUGGCCUUGAUGAUCUUAAAAGUCUCUCCCAACCCAAAUUAUUCUGUUCAGAGCAAGCUUCAUCUCUGCUGAAAACCCAUUGGAGCUUAGAAAACACAAAAAGCAAAGCCCUGAAAGCUGCCAGUGAGUGGAAGACUGGAGAUGAUUCUUCACGAGGUUGUGGGCAGGUGCUGGAAGCCUCAUCCCUGGAGGUCUUUAAGGCCAGGCUAGAUGUGGCUCUGGGCAACCUGAGGUGUCCCUUCCAUGGUGGUGGUGGGAGAUGGAACUGGAUGAUCCUUGAAGUCACUUCCAGCCCUGAGAGUUAUGUGGUAUUUUGUGCUGGAUGCUUCCCCUUGUUCUGUCCUUCUGCUGAUGGAGCUUCUGGUUCUGUCUUUGGCUUUACAGGGAUUUCCCAAGCUGCAGGAGUUCCUCUCAGGAUGCUCAAUCCCCAUCUCCAUGUCACUGCUGAAGACAGCAAAUGGUGUUGGUGCCAGGAUGGACACAGUAGUGAGCUCUGGGAAUCCAGGUGUGGCAAACUGAUGGGUAAAGCAGGCCUUGCUGUCUGCAAAGGGCUGGAUGAAGGAGUGUGGGCAGCUUCAAACUCCUUUGUGGUGGAGUUCUCAGCAGAGCACAAAAGGAUCCCUGUCUGAUGAGAUCAUCUGAAGGUCCCAGCCUGGGCAAAAGCUCCAACAAGAGUUAAGAUCACACAAGUGACAAGAGGAGCAAUCCAGGAAGGGAACUCAUUGAAUGUCAGUGAAGACAGGAGCUGGUUGGCAUCUGGAGUGUCCAGGCAGAAGCAGUAUGAGGACAAGAAGAAGACCCUGGAAGGAGUCCCUGUCCCCAGGUGCCUUUUUCUCUUGUGUCCCAGGCAGUGGCAGCUCAGCCCAGUUCAGCCACACCUUUGCUCCAGCCCAGCUCAAGAACAGCAGAGUCAUCACUGACUGCAGGGCAGCAACCACUGCUUUGAGCUGGGAACACCAAGAGCUGCUUUGGGUUUCCUGCUUCCAUCAAAUGCUCAGGUAUGGUGGGCAGGGCCUUCAGCUACCUGGGCUAGUGGGAGCUGUCCCUGCCCGUGGCAGGGGGAGAGGGGUUGGCACUGGCUGAUCUUGAAGGUCCCAUCCAAACUAACCCAUUCUAUGAUGCCAGUUGCAGAUCUGCUUCAACACAACCAUUUUGACUUGCCUUUGUCAGCAGAGGCUAGCAGAGCCUGAGUGAGUUCCCCCACACAGCCAAGCAGCUCUGCUGGGCACAAGGUCACAGCACCCCUCACUUGCUCCUGUCGGCGCAGGGCUCUUCCAGCUCCUCCAUCACCACGUCCUGCUGAUUGUCCACCCAGUUGCCUUUCUUAACUGCCUUCCUCUCCUCCUCAGCACCUGGGCAGGCCUGCUGCCGUGCUGCCUGGCAGCUGGCAGCUGGCAGAGUGGCUUUGCCUGGGCCUGGCUGCCAGCAGCCCUCCCUGCGAGGAGGCAGCUGCCGGCAGCAGAGCCGAAGCUUGAAGGCUGCCUGGAAGCCGCGGCGGAAGUUCUCGUUGAAGAAGCCGUAGACGAUGGGGUUGAUGCUGCUGUUGAAGAAGGCCAGCCAGUGAGCCAAGGGGUAGAUGUAAACGUUGAUGAGCUGCAGCUGCAGGUCUGAGAGCGUGGCAUAGUCUGACAGCAUCAUCAGGGUCCAGAGAGGCAGCCAGGAGAGGGUGAAAAGCGAAGCCACAACGAUCAGCAUCUUGAUCACCUUCUGCUUCUUCCUGCUGACUGCCAGGCGCUGCUGCUGCUGCUGCUGCUGCUGGCCAGGCCUCCCCAGCACGGGGCUGGAGAGAGCCAUGCUGAUCCUGGCGUACAUCAGGACGAUGAGGGAGAGAGGAGCCAGGUAGAUGUUGGCAAACAGGACGGUGGUGUAGAUCCUGCGCAUGCCCGGCUCGGGCCAGUCCUCCCGGCACCAGUAGACAGGGCGGGUUCGGUUGCCGUGGCCGAGGAGCACCCUGAAGUGCUUCUCCUCCUGGAUUUGCAGCAUGACAGCAGAAGGGCACAUGAUGGCCACGGCCAGGAGCCAGAUGAGCGCGAUGAUGGCCAGGGCGCUGGGGACCGUCAGCUUCUGCCUGAAGGGGUGCACGAUGCAGCGGAACCUGCGCGGGGACGGCGACACCGCUGCCAGCCGCGCCACGGGCAGGGGCUGCAGGGCUGCCGGCAGGGCUGCUGCAGGGCUGCAGAGCAGGGCAACCAAGCUGGGGGAGGGGGUGCAGAGCAGGGCAACCAGGCUGCUGGAGGGUUGCAGGG